CUUUAAAUCACUCAUCUGCUUUACAGUCGCCUCCGCAGUCCCGUCUGGGACCUGUGCUUUCUAGGCCCUGGUCAGCCUUGAAACAGACAGUGCUAUCUUGCUACACAUCGCAUGAGAUCCCACAGCGCUUGCUUCUCAGUGUGGCUCCUUCACACCGUGCCCGGGGUGCCUGGUGUUGUGUGCUGCCCACUGCAGAGACCAAACACUGGUGACCACAGAAGACAUCUGGCAAGUCUAGAAAAUGGUGAACAGCUAACGUUUAGUAAGCAUUUACUAUGUGCCAGGAAUUUUUCUGAGCUCCUUACAUGCUCCUUACUUGCCUCAUUUCAUCCUUGAAGCAGCCUUAGGAAGCAGAGCUGAUGAUUACCUCCCUUUCACAGGUAAGAAAAUGGAGAUACUGAGAGGUCAAGCAAGCACUUGGUGAGAGAGUCAGGGUUAGAACCCAGCUAUUUCAAUCUCAGACUAGGAGCUUAGCCACUUUGCUCCCUAAGAGAUGGAAGAAGAUGAUGCAAGAUGGGGGAAAACCUCCCGGCUAGGCUGUGGGGCAGGUGGGUGAGUGCUAUUAAGUCAUUUGCCCAGGUGGCAACCUGGAGGCUCACCAGAGCCACCCCUGGGUGGCAGAUACAUUGUCUCACGCUCUCUGUGAGCCAAGGUGGGUGUGAUGUCGGUGUGAGACACUCCUGACAAAGUCCUCGGGAAUCCUGGGAGG
ensembl:lncRNA